AGAAACACUCAUACCUUUCUCGGCCUUUUGGCUAAGAUCAAGUGUAGUAUCUGUUCUUAUCAGUUUAAUAUCUGAUAUGUGGGUCAUCGGCCCACACGAUAUUAAAUUUAUUUCUUGAGGGGGAGAGCCCACCACAGUAGCUUGCUACUGGGGCUCGCAAGCGUCGCCCAUGCGUUGCACUACUGCACGGGCCUGGCGCACCCCACCCAAUUCUAGUACGAAGCUUCACAUGUUUGCUUAAUUUAUGUGGAUGACCCAAAUCUUCUGUAUGUUUUCUAAAGUCAUUAAGGUUUCUCUAUGUUUUCUAAGCCAUUAAGCUGCAGUCAGUUGCUUUCUGUAUGUUAAUCACAGCUGAAUUAAUAGUGUAGAAUAAAGCAUCCAACCAUGUCAAAUGAUCCACGAACAGUUAUGUGAAGUGUCAGCCAAUUAUUGUACUCACCAUGUGAAGCCUGGUUGUAACGGGUAGCAUUAUUGUACCAGUUUGUUCGUGCAAGAAGACUAAUCAGAGCCAUUCCUAGUAUUAUAUAAAAGAGGAAGAGUGUUUGCUCAAAAAAAAGAAAAGAGGAAGAGUGUGGAGUGAAAGAGCAAUCGUUGACAGUCUUGCCUAGUUGCCUUUAUCAUGUUGAAUUAAUAAAACUUGUGUUUUGGUAUAACUCGGUAGUUCUUGUUGCUUCAUUUAACUUGUACAAUAGAAGUCUCAUAGUACAAUAAUACAUGAAUAGGUGUCCCAAUAAUGCAUGGAUAUGUACAACUAUUUUAAUUCGUGGGAGCCAUACUGUUUACAAGGAUCCACCAAGCUUCACGCAUGCGGAUCCUAUCUCUCCAUUUGGUUAAUGAGAUUGUGAAAUUCUUGUUA